rnacentral:rRNA from 1 species
UAGGGAAUCUUCCACAAUGGACGAAAGUCUGAUGGAGCAACGCCGCGUGAGUGAAGAAGGGUUUCGGCUCGUAAACUACUGUUGUUAAAGAAGAACAUAUCUGAGAGUAACUGUUCAGGUAUUGACGGUAUUUAACCAGAAAGCCACGGCUAACUACGUGCCAC